AAAUGGCGUCACGUUCGAGAAAUAAAUCGCUAGAACGGGUAGAAAAAGAGCUACAGUGUUCGGUAUGUCUUAGCAGGCUUAAAGACCCGAGAGUUUUCCCUGUAUGUCAACACUCCUUUUGUCAUGAAUGUAUUGUGGAUUGGAUUGAAUCAAAUGAACCAAAAAGCAAAAUUCCUUGCCCUGAAUGCAGAUCGGAAGUAGAGG